AACGAACGCUGGCGGCAGGCUUAACACAUGCAAGUCGAACGCUCGUAGCAAUACGGGAGUGGCAGACGGGUGAGUAACGCGUGGGAACGUGCCCAAAGGUACGGAACAACUCCGGGAAACUGGAGCUAAUACCGUAUGUGCCCGAAAGGGGAAAGAUUUAUCGCCUUUGGAUCGGCCCGCGUCGGAUUAGCUAGUUGGUGGGGUAAUGGCCUACCAAGGCGACGAUCCGUAGCUGGUCUGAGAGGAUGAUCAGCCACACUGUGACUGAGACACGGCCCAGACUCCUACGGGAGGCAGCAGUGGGGAAUAUUGGACAAUGGGCGCAAGCCUGAUCCAGCCAUGCCGCGUGAGUGAUGAAGGCCUUAGGGUUGUAAAGCUCUUUCGCCAGGGACGAUAAUGACGGUACCUGGAUAAGAAGCCCCGGCUAACUUCGUGCCAGCCGCCGCCGUAA
rnacentral:rRNA from 1 species